UACGUAGGGUGCAAGCGUUGUUCGGAAUUACUGGGCGUAAAGGGCGCGUAGGCGGGCCCGUAUGUCGAUUGUGAAAGCCCAGGGCUUAACCUUGGAAUUGCAGUCGAAACUGCGGGUCUUGAAUGCCUGAGGGGAUGGCGGAAUUUCCGGUGUAGAAGUGAAAUUCGUAGAUAUCGGAAAGAACACCUGAGGCGAAGGCGGCUAUCUGGCGGUGCAUUGACGCUGAGGCGCGAAAGCGUGGGGAGCAAACAGG
rnacentral:rRNA from 1 species